rnacentral:rRNA from 1 species
AGUGAACGCUGGCGGCAGGCCUAACACAUGCAAGUCGAGCGGCAGCGCGUCCGACCACCCUCGGGUGGUCGGAUGGCGGCGAGCGGCGGACGGGUGAGGAAUGCAUCGGAAUCUGCCUCGUUGUGGGGGAUAACGUAGGGAAACUUACGCUAAUACCGCAUACGACCUACGGGUGAAAGUGGGGGACCUUCGGGCCUCACGCGAUGAGAUGAGCCGAUGCCGGAUUAGCUAGUUGGCGGGGUAAAGGCCCACCAAGGCGACGAUCCGUAGCUGGUCUGAGAGGGAUGAUCAGCCACACUGGAACUGAGACACGGUCCAGACUCCUACGGGAGGCAGCAGUGGGGGAAUAUUGGACAAUGGGGGGCAACCCUGAUCCAGCCAUGCCGCGUGUGUGAAGAAGGCCUCGGUGUAAG